rnacentral:rRNA from 1 species
CAAUGCCUACGGGACGCAGCAGUGAGGAAUAUUGGUCAAUGGGCGCGAGCCUGAACCAGCCAAGUCGCGUGAGGGAUGACGGCCCUACGGGUUGUAAACCUCUUUUGUCGGGGAGCAAAUUCCGUUACGUGUAACGGAGUCGAGAGUACCCGAAGAAAAAGCAUCGGCUAACUCCGUGCCAGCAGCCGCGGUAAUACGGAGGAUGCGAGCGUUAUCCGGAUUUAUUGGGUUUAAAGGGUGCGUAGGCGGGCUUUUAAGUCAGCGGUAAAAAUUCGGGGCUCAACCCCGUCCGGCCGUUGAAACUG